UGUUCCAGAUAAUCCAGAGUUUGGGGUUGAUGUCUACGUUACAGUGAAGAUCCUGGGAAUCAUAACACUCUACAGUACACUCAUCAUCUUUGAGUGCUGGUUGAGAUCCCGGUGCUGCAACAAACCAGUGAAGGACGCAGGAGAAGAAGACUACGUCAACAGAGUGAUUGAGAUUCAAGCAACAUGAA